AUCCUGCAUAUCAGAUAUUUACAUUACGAUUCAUAACAGUAGCAAAAUUACAGUUAUGAAGUAGCAACGAAAAUAAUUUUAUGGUUGGGGGUUACCACAACAUGAGGAAUUGUAUUAAAGGGUCGCAGCAUUAGGAAGGUUGAGAACCACUGGAUUAGAGAAAUGUAGCGUUUUCAUCUGGCAUCAUUAAAGGCCCCUUGAGGUUAGUGAAGUAUGGUAGCAAUCAUCUCAGGUAGAAACUGUAGUUUAACUCUAACCCUGCUGUUUGGUUUCUAUACUUAUUUUCUUGCUAAAAUAAUAGAAAAGAUAUUUUAAUUUUCUGAAUUAAAUAAAUCACCCCAUUCAAUUAAAUACCCUUUUGAUUGUAAUGUGAAAUCCCAUUGGUUGUGAUCAUACUGGUCUUAGAAAGCAGUUUCCUUUACCUGGGAAGGACAGCACAAUUACCCCAAGGUCAGAGGGCUCCAGUUAACGUGUCCCAUUGACUCAGUGUUCCGGAGACCCAAAAACAGUAAUUGAGAUAACAUGCUUAAGUCUGCUUCUGUAAACUGCUUUUUUGCAAACCAGGUUCCUCAUUCCAAACCUUGGGAUGUAAUCAAUACCUUUGUGAUCUUUGCCUAUAUAAAUCUGGUGUUGGGGCUGGGGCGGACACUAUGAGAUCUGGGAGAGCGAAAUGCCCCCUCAUAGUCCCGGAUUUGCAAUAAAUGUGACUCUUUAAUUCGA